rnacentral:lncRNA from 1 species
AAAAUGGCUAAUGAUCCAAUAUUCGCUGAGAAACACAGGGCCAAGAUGUAACUAUCCUCUCAUCAAAACCGUAGGAAUUCUGUGAAUACAGAAGUUCAAACACCGGAUGGAAAUGGGGAGAAAAUGAAAACUGCCUUUUUUUUAGAGUAGUGGGUUCGUGGAGGAUUUGUCUUUAGGCUUUUGGUUUGCAUUUGAUGCUGACACAAUAUUGUUUAUCCAGUGAAUGCAAGUUUUUGUUUUGUUUUGUUUGUUUGUCUUUUAAAGAGGAGAGUGGAGAAGAGGAAAGUUCUCUUCUGCCAUCGUUCCUCAUUUGUCUGAGAAACAGGCACCGCACCUGGCCCAAUGGAAAAGAAAUUCCAGAAGAAGGGAAGAGGGAAGGAAUGGAGUUGAGUGUGUCUGGAUCUAAAGGCUUGCUGCUCCGCCCUGGCUUCCUGUCCCCACAGGAAGCACACCAGGCCUCUCUCUCUCCCCAACUCACUCCAACGGGUGACCUCCACUGGGCAGCCUGCCUCAGGAAUGCCUCUCCUCUCAUCCUUCUUCAGGCACAGAGGCCCGCCCUCCAUACAACUUCCAGAAAGACAGCUCUGCACACCUAAAGAACCUCCCAGACCCCUGCAUCAGGACAACAGCCUCUCCUGGCACUCAGGACCAGCCUCCUCCUAGCUGCCUGCAAAUUGUCACAGAACACACCUGUCGGCUCUGACCCCAUGCCUUCACUCUUGCUGUCCUCUCUGCUCAGAGCACCCUCCCACCACCCCUGCCUGCCAGUGCCAGCCACGCACGUUGGAUGACAGCUGACCCCCUCUGCAACCAAAACCUUCCAAACCAUGGCCAAGCAGAUGGCUCCCUUCUCUCUCCCAUCCCCCAUGACUGUAAGGACCUCAAAUACACAGAUUGAUCAAGUGUA